rnacentral:rRNA from 1 species
GCACAAGCGGUGAUCAUGUUGUUUAAUUCGAUGAUACGACGAAGAAACCUUUACCAGGUCUUGACAUCCCCUGCAAAGCUAUAGAGAUAUAGUGGAGGUUAUCAGGGAGACAGGUGGUGCAUGGUUGUCGUCAGCUCGUGUCGUGAGAUGUUGGGUUAAGUCCCGCAACGAGCGCAACCCUUAUUGCUAGUUACCAUCAUUGAGUUGGGGACUCUAGCGAGACUGCCAGUGAUAAACUGGAGGAAGUGGGGAUGACGUCAAGUCCUCAUGGCCCUUAUGUCCAGGGCUACACACGUGCUACAAUGGCCGGUACAAAGGGCAGCAAAGCCGCGAGGUGGAGCCAAUCCCAGAAAGCCGGUCUCAGUUCGGAUUGGAGUCUGCAACUCGACUCCAUGAAGUUGGAAUCGCUAGUAAUCGCGGAUCAGCAUGCCGCGGUGAAUACGUUCCCGGGCCUU